rnacentral:rRNA from 1 species
AACGUAGGUCACAAGCGUUGUCCGGAAUUACUGGGUGUAAAGGGAGCGCAGGCGGGAAGACAAGUUGGAAGUGAAAUCCAUGGGCUCAACCCAUGAACUGCUUUCAAAACUGUUUUUCUUGAGUAGUGCAGAGGUAGGCGGAAUUCCCGGUGUAGCGGUGGAAUGCGUAGAUAUCGGGAGGAACACCAGUGGCGAAGGCGGCCUACUGGGCACCAACUGACGCUGAGGCUCGAAAGUGUGGGUAGCAAACAGGAUUAGAAACCCUUGUCGGCUGACUGACU